rnacentral:rRNA from 1 species
ACGGAAGGCAGCAGUGGGGAAUAUUGGGCAAUGGGCGAAAGCCUGACCCAGCAACGCCGCGUGAAGGAAGAAGGUCUUCGGAUUGUAAACUUCUUUUAUGAGGGACGAAGGAAGUGACGGUACCUCAUGAAUAAGCCCCGGCUAACUACGUGCCAGCAGCCGCGGUAAUACGUAGGGGGCGAGCGUUAUCCGGAUUUACUGGGUGUAAAGGGCGCGUAGGCGGGUCGGCAAGUCAGGUGUGAAAUCUAUGGGCUCAACCCAUAAACUGCAUUUGAAACUGUCGAUCUUGAGUACUGGAGAGGUAGACGGAAUUCCUUGUGUAGCGGUGAAAUGCGUAGAUAUAAGGAAGAACACCAGUGGCGAAGGCGGUCUACUGGACAGUAACUGACGCUGAGGCGCGAAAGCGUGGGGAGCAAACAGGAUUAGAUACCCUGGUA